UACGAAGGGGGCUAGCGUUGCUCGGAAUUACUGGGCGUAAAGGGCGCGUAGGCGGAUAGUUUAGUCAGAGGUGAAAGCCCAGGGCUCAACCCUGGAACUGCCUUUGAUACUGGCUAUCUUGAGUUCGGGAGAGGUGAGUGGAACUCCGAGUGUAGAGGUGAAAUUCGUAGAUAUUCGGAAGAACACCAGUGGCGAAGGCGACUCACUGGCCCGAUACUGACGCUGAGGCGCGAAAGCGUGGGGAGCAAACAGG
rnacentral:rRNA from 1 species